rnacentral:tRNA from 6 species
CGGGGCGUGGCGCAGUCCGGCUAGCGCGCUUGCAUGGGGUGCAAGAGGUCGUGGGUUCGAUUCCCACCGCCCCGA